rnacentral:rRNA from 1 species
UUUAAACGAAUUCGCCCUUCCGGUGAAUUAUUCGGACUGACGCAGUGCUCAGCUUCUGGACGUUGCGUCGGAAAGUUUCAUGAACCUUAUCACUUAGAGGAAGGAGAAGUCGUAACAAGGUUUCCGUAGGUGAACCUGCGGAAGGAUCAUUC